rnacentral:rRNA from 1 species
CCCUUCGGGGUACUCGAGCGGCGAACGGGUGAGUAACACGUGAGCAACCUGCCCUAGGCUUUGGGAUAACCCUCGGAAACGGGGGCUAAUACCGAAUAUUCACUUGCGGGCGCAUGUUUGUGGGUGGAAAGUUUUUCGGCUUGGGAUGGGCUCGCGGCCUAUCAGCUUGUUGGUGGGGUGAUGGCCUACCAAGGCGACGACGGGUAGCCGGCCUGAGAGGGCGACCGGCCACACUGGGACUGAGACACGGCCCAGACUCCUACGGGAGGCAGCAGUGGGGAAUAUUGCACAAUGGGCGGAAGCCUGAUGCAGCGACGCCGCGUGAGGGAUGACGGCCUUCGGGUUGUAAACCUCUUUCAGCAGGGACGAAGCGCAAGUGACGGUACCUGCAGAAGAAGCGCCGGCCAACUACGUGCCAGCAGCCGCGGUAAGACGUAGGGCGCGAGCGUUGUCCGGAUUUAUUGGGCGUAAAGAGCUCGUAGGCGGCUUGUCGCGUCGACUGUGAAAACCCACGGCUCAACUGUGGGCUUGCAGUCGAUACGGGCAGGCUAGAGUUCGGUAGGGGAGACUGGAAUUCCUGGUGUAGCGGUGAAAUGCGCAGAUAUCAGGAGGAACACCGGUGGCGAAGGCGGGUCUCUGGGCCGAAAC